UCCAGACUAAAAGGACCAAACUAGGACUAGAAGGACCAGACAAGGACUAAAAGGACCAGACUAGGACUAAAAGGACCCAGACUAGGUCUAAAAGGGACCAGACUAGGACUAAAAGGGACCAGACUAGGACUAAAAGGACCAGACUAGGACUAAAAGGACCAGACUAGGACUAAAAGGACCAGACUAGGACUAAAAGGACCAGUGUAUUGUAGUGUUUGGCUGAUACAGUACACACACACACACACACACCAUUUCAAUCGAUAAGAUCUUUAUCAGGUUCAGUGGGUUUAGAUCAGGUAGGUACAAGCAUCUAAAAUACAUAUACAACAAUAACACUCUCAACUAGCAUCAAUCUAAUCUAAGGUCUAAUGUCAAUAAUGAUAUCUACUCAUUAUCAAUCCUCUAUCCACAUGAUCAACCGUUGGCUUUGAACUAUGAAAAACAAACAAGCUACUUAAAAGUUGCAGACUUUAAAAAUAAAAAACCUCAAAACCUGUCAAGCCUCUUACAUCAUUCUUCGUAAAAGACGAAAAGUAAGCAUUGUAAAUACGUUGACGUUUUAUUUUUUAGCUAAUCACAACAAUACUACUAACGUAUCACAAGGAGAACAAACUAAAGAUAUCAUAUUCCACAGAGGAGUGUCCUCUACUUCCUGUUUCUGAUACUGACUCUGGGCUACUGUAACUGCUGUUAUCUCUACUGUCCAGACUCAGUCAGGUCCAGGUUGGUACUCUACUGUCCAGACUCAGUCAGGUCCAGGUUGGUACUCUACUCUACUGUCCAGACUCAGUCAGGUCCAGGUUGGUACUCUACUGUCCAGACUCAGUCAGGUCCAGGUUGGUACUCUACUCUACUGUCCAGACUCAGUCAGGU
ensembl:lncRNA